UACGGAGGGUGCAAGCAUUAAUCGGAUUUACUGGGCGUAAAGGGCGCGUGGGCGGGUAGUCAAGUCAAGUGUGAAAUUCCGGAGCUCAACUCCGGAGCUGCACUUGAAACUGACUGUCUAUAGAGGGAUGGCGGAGAAAACGGAAUUCCACGUGUAGCGGUGAAAUGCGUAGAUAUGUGGAAGAACACCAGUGGCGAAGGCGGUUUUCUGGCUAGUACCUGACGCUGAGGCGCGAGAGCAUGGGGAGCAAACAGG
rnacentral:rRNA from 1 species